rnacentral:rRNA from 1 species
CCUACGGGAGGGCAGCAGUGAGGAAUAUUGGUCAAUGGACGAGAGUCUGAACCAGCCAAGUAGCGUGCAGGAUGACGGCCCUAUGGGUUGUAAACUGCUUUUAUGCGGGGAUAAAGUGAGGGACGUGUCCCUUAUUGUAGGUACCGCAUGAAUAAGGACCGGCUAAUUCCGUGCCAGCAGCCGCGGUAAU